UUAAGCAUAUCAAUAAGCGGAGGAAAAGAAACCAACAGGGAUUGCCUUAGUAACGGCGAGUGAAGCGGCAAAAGCUCAAAUUUGAAAUCUGGCGCCUUCGGUGUCCGAGUUGUAAUUUGAAGAAGGUAACUUUGGAGUUGGCUCUUGUCUAUGUUCCUUGGAACAGGACGUCACAGAGGGUGAGAAUCCCGUGCGAUGAGAUGCCCAAUUCUAUGUAAAGUGCUUUCGAAGAGUCGAGUUGUUUGGGAAUGCAGCUCUAAGUGGGUGGUAAAUUCCAUCUAAAGCUAAAUAUUGGCGAGAGACCGAUAGCGAACAAGUACAGUGAUGGAAAGAUGAAAAGAACUUUGAAAAGAGAGUGAAAAAGUACGUGAAAUUGUUGAAAGGGAAGGGCUUGAGAUCAGACUUGGUAUUUUGCGUUCCUUUCCUUUUUGGUUGGGUUCCUCGCAGCUUACUGGGCCAGCAUCGGUUUGGAUGGUAGGAUAAUGACAUUGGAAUGUAUCUCUACUUCGGUGGAGUGUUAUAGCCCUUGUUGAUACUGCCUGUCUAGACCGAGGACUGCGUCUUUGACUAGGAUGCUGGCAUAAUGAUCUUAAGCCACCCGUCUU
rnacentral:rRNA from 1 species